AUAUUAUUUUUACAUAAAAGGUUUUGCAUUGUUUUUGUCUUGUUUCUGUAGCCCUAGACAAUUAUCAAACUAUAAAAAUGCCUGAACGGGUUAAAGUGGAGCGCUCUUUGACCUCAAGGGGCGCAGAGUUUGAAGCGCUUCAACAGCAUUUAAAGAGACCGCACCAAAACAAGUUGCUCUCAGACGCAUCUCAGAACAAGGGUAAAAGAGGAGCCUGUGGAGCUACAAUAACAAGGAGUUCAGACCAAAGCAUUGCAGUUCCACUUUAUAUAGACCACAACCGAAUGAUAUAAGUGUGAAAAGGAAGGAUGCAUGAUAUGUCCUCUUUAAACUUAAACCACACCUGGCUACUUGCAGCAUCUCUGUAAAGCAACUGAGUGCAGGCUCUACCUGAGCAGAUCGCUCAACUAAUUAACCAGCCGGUGUAAUCUUAGACUCGUGUUAUUCUUUAAAAAAGCAGCACAAUAAAAAUGUAUAUUACUCUGCACAAUAAGCACUUGAAAACUACUACCACUUUAGAGGGAGUUCAUUUUAUAUUGUCGUUUAAAACUGUGUAUCUAAAUCAAAAUAUUUUUUACUCAAGGUAAUCAUACAGUGAGAAUCUCACAUCAGCCCAUGCAGAUGGGAGACAAUCAGAAACCCUGAGUAAUUUUGCACUGUCCUUGACUUCUUACAAUCUUGUCUUUUUGUUUUUCAAAGGAAUCUGCUUUGCCACACACUCAGAUAUGUCCAUGCUUUUGGUUGGAGCUAAAUCAUUACCCCAAAGCAUACACGGAGGGUCAAAAAUCUAUGGAUUUACAGCAAUCUCCCCACCCCUUAGAGAAUUUACUGUAAGACCAUUACUAAGCUCUGUUUGAAAGUUUCAUUCAUCCUUCUCCGUCAAAGCGUGACUUUUAGCAUAGGCCAAGACAGAUGUUACUCCCCAGAUGUGGACGGCCACAAAAACCCCAGCAGCCGACCGGCCCAGUCAAAGAGCAGAUCGUAAAUGGCCACGUUUACUGUUCUUUUAAAAGCAGAUGAGCUCAUCGAGUGUCCUUCUCCAGCCAACGCUGCAGCUUUUUGGGAAAAUGUUUUACUUUUGACAAUGAUCACUCUGAGACGUAUAAAAUCUGAAUCUUGAGAGGAGAGCUUAACAAAAAGCAAGAAAGGCAUGUGUCUGUGAUGGUUGUUGUCACAUAGAAGCUGACAGGCUGGCGAAAUACGGGCAUGCGAUUUACCGGGAUUAAGUGGGCAUAUUUGACCUUUUUGAUCUGCACAUCUGCUUCGCUAACCAAAGCAGCUAAUUUGGAGUUGAAAGAGGAAGGGCCGUUAUCUCAAAUCAUUGGUGACAAAGCAACAGAGAGGGGGACGUGCAUGUUAUUUAUUAGUAAACCAGGAGCAUUUCUCUGGGUGUCGCAAGGCCAUGUGCCUGAGCCCAUACGUCUGCCUGCAUGUGGUUUUGUUUAUUUGAAUGAAGCCAAUAAAACUUCUUAGAUCACUUUACUUUUUCCACUGGUUGAUUUAUCUGUUCCAGUUGUGGAGUCUGCCUCCUCUGUCUCCCCCACCUCUCUGUUCUCUUCCCACUCCACUGUUACAUGUGGUUUCCAUUCAGCUCUUGUCCGGUAUCUCAAAGAUUUAUGGAAAGUCAGAUGAGCUGCCAAUUCCAGCUUCCAUAAGUAUAUAGUUGGGAGGAACGUGAUCUGGGCAUUUUAACAGGAAUGUCAAACAAGAGUCAGUACAAUGCUUUGCCAUCAGUCUGUCAAGGAUAAAAUUAACUGGUUAAUUUACUACUUGAAGGUAUUUAGAGCAUAUUUGGAAUAAUAUUUGGGAUUAUUUACAAAAUUAAAGCCUACUUCCUCUUCUGUUCUUUGUGAAAAUAUGGCAAAAUGAGUAGAAAAGCAGGGAAUGCUAUAGCUAUUAGUUGCUGAAGUGCUCUGCUGUGUCUGAAAGGACGGUUUAUCUAAGCAGCAAUCUACCCCCCAAGGAUCUGCAGUACAGUAACUCCUGGACCAUUGUGUUUGUUCUGAAGGCAUCUGGACAUAUGGAAACAUGAGUAGUUUAGCCAGCUCACAGCAUCUGAGUCAGGUUGAGUAACAGCACAUGAAUAUCACUUCAUUUUAUCCUUAAAUCACAUAGAACCUCUUAAAUACCUGUCAAUUAUUCUGUGGCAGAAAGAACUGUUUAACUUUGGUACAUCCAUAUGACCAACUCCAACGGUUGGUAACAUCCUGAUGAAAUGCUUUAUGGAAAUAUUGUUUAGCAGAAAAUAAAUGUGGUUUUCAUCUAAAAGCUUCCUGGCUGCCACUUCAGUUUAGAUCAGCCUUUUUUCUCUUCAGUAACUGACACAAUUUAUGGCCUUAGACUGUGUAAAACCUGAACAUAAACCAUGUCUCGCAGAUUUGAUGAAUUGUUUUUAUUUUUCCAGAUGUCAAACCAGCUUGUAUUAAUGGAGUUCUACGUUCAUUACCAUGUAAUGGGUUUGAUCAAUCCAGGAAUGUGAAGAACAGUAAAGACUAACAACUCAUGGGAGUUUUUUUUCUAUCAAAGCUUCAGUGUUGAAGUUCUUUCUGUUUCUACCCACCCAAGUACAGACUCUGGCACCAACAAAAAUACUAGUGUAAUCUCGGCACCAGCUCAGAAGAAGUAGCUGUUUUGUCCGGGGCUGGUGGCAGCCUCAAGAAUACCAGCAACUAAUUAAAAUGUUUGUGGCUGCUACCUAUCACAUUUAUCUGGCUGUAGGAAAACCAAAGUGGUUUUUAUCCGGAACCAGUACAGAACUGACUCCUACACCCACUCUGGUAAAGCACAGCAACUGCAUCAGAGAAAAAACUUGUAACUUACUGCCGAAGAGCCCAUCAACUGGAACAAGGACUACCAAAUCAUACUUAUUUUUCCACUUAACUGAAACGUGCUCGACUCGGAUGUUAAGUACUUCAAAUAUCUGAGUUCCAACUUAUGAAACUGUAACUUUUAAAAGCCGUUGUAUACCUUGAUGCUGGAAACCUAGCCAUGCCUAAUAAAAGAAUACUAUGAUUAA